rnacentral:tRNA from 1 species
GUUUCCGUAGUGUAGCGGUUAUCACGUCUGCUUCACAAGCAGAAGGUCCCCGGUUCGAUCCCGGGCGGGAAAA